UUAGUUGCAGAUGGAGCAUCUUCAAGAUUCACAAGUCCAUAUGUGUAUAUGACCAUAUGGAAAUGAGAAUCUUGAUGAUGCUGCAUCAGCAAUAGA
rnacentral:pre_miRNA from 1 species